UACUUGAGCACAUCUCUGUAUUCUAAUGUCUCUCUGUCAAGAUUCUCUCACUCUCUCUCUUUCAGUCAACCUCUGUCUCUGGCUAAUUAAUGAACUGAAGCAGACGUGACAAUGAUAGAACGGUUAUAUCACUCAAGAGCAAAUGCGAGAUGACUAGAGGAGAUUAUUUACACAUUGUGAGCGUGAACACAUGCACCUAAAAUGAAUGCAGUGACAAAUUGCUCCAGUAACCCAACAACGCCAAAAGCUUUCAGAUUUACAAGCAUUAGUGUAAAGAAUCUGCUCUGUUUAAUCGAACCUUCAGGUUUAAGUAAACAAAAACGUUUGUGUCUCAUAAUUAUCUGUAAAAGGGUAUCAAUUUAUAUUUGUUUUCAUAUUAUAACAGGAAGAAAGUCAUACACCUGAAGGGCGCAAUCUGUGCAGGAACAGGUCGGCAUCUCCGCAAUUUGAUCCUACACUUAAUCAGGUAGUGUGAAAUGAACAGUGUGACGGACAGCGCAGAGGACUGUGACAGAAGAGCACAGGUCUAUACAGGCUGAGAGUGAUUCUCUGUGACUGAGCGUUUGGAACGUGUCUGGCGGACCGCCGUGCGUCCUCUUGCACCCGUCAACGGGAGUGUCAGCGUGAAACCUCCGGUAAUCAGCUCACGCUGCACCUUGCGUCCUGUUUUCUCCACAGGAGAACGAAAUAGGGAACGCCUGAGUGAACCCAUAACCUGAACAGAAUCACGCUUUGACAGCUACACAGGAAAAGCACCCGAGCCACGGGCGAAUACAACAAUCCACCACAACCUACUUCGCACUCUGGAGUCAUGCGGGCAAUUUGCAUGCACAACGUUUCUGUCUUUCGGUCCGUCUCGCCAAUAUCAAUCGUUUUCCACAUGCAACACAUUCAGUCAUUUGUUAAAGAUUUUAAAAAUGGAAAAAUGUGGGAGUGCAUCAGCUCUCGAUGGUUUGCAAACCCAAGGUUAUGCGAAUUAUUUGCAGAAUCUGUUUUACAUUAUUGUAUAAAGGAUUCAGAUAGAUCCUUUUCUGAUCACAAUUCUCACGCUCUGUUUUGCCAGUCAGGCUUUGUGAACCAUCUGGAGCGUUGCUCUGACAACGGGGGAGGAUGUCAUGGUAACAUUAACGGGGGUUACCCAGGAAACUGUAGUCGCCAUGGAGACUGCAUCACAAGGCGGACUCAAGGCGUGAUCUCUCUCAGUCUUUCAGUCUCCGUUCUCGUAGUCUGCCAUUCCGCCGAGUCCAACGGCUUUUUUUUUCACCAACCAUCCGAGCCAUCGUUUCAGCUGCUUCUUUUUUUCAUAAUUCAAAAGCACUGUGACGUCUCACUUUGAGGGGAAAGUGUGAACACUAUUUUUAGGCUAGAUGUGAUUUGAGUUUUACAUAAUCUGGAGAUAACUAUAUCUUCGCACAACGAAUAACUUGAUCACAAAAUAAAGAUCUAUUUCCUUUCAUUGAGUGCAAACCAAUUUCAUUUGGUACAGUAAAGUCAAAUUCAAUAGACACACAUAGCUUUGAUUACAUUAUUAAUAAAACGUAUUGGUUUUUUUUCUUCACAUUAAUUGAGUCUGCACUGGGUGAUUCUUGAAUUAGGGGAACUUUUUGACUACUUUUUAAUCUAUGUUAAUAUGCUAUUUAUCAUGGAAUAAAGAUCAGAUGACCUUAAUAACCUUGAGAAAAAGUUAGUCCGUUAUAAGCCAAUUAACCUAAUUUAAAAACACAUAAUAAAUGGAUUGUUUUAGAAAUAAAACAAUAUCUACACCAAAUAGAAAUCCACUCUAACUCUAAAAAUGUAUGAUAUUCUGUCACAUAUUAUCAUAACCAAGUAGAAACAUUUUUUUUUUUUGGAAAGACUUUGCUGUCCCCAAUACUGCUGUAAAAAAAAAAAAUUCUAAUGUUACACAAACAGCAAAAGAAUUAAAAAAAUAUGGUUUAUUUUAAGUUACAUUUUAUAUAGAUUUAUGGUAGACAAGAUAAAAAGUCAUGGUUGGAGACAAUUCUGGCAAAUUAAAUGAGGAGAUCAACAGUUACAGUGCCCGCCCACUUUUUCAGCAGCGCUGGUUCCGGAAGUAUUUUUUCCAUUCAUUUUUCCCAUA